rnacentral:rRNA from 1 species
CCUACGGGUGACAGCAGUGGGGAAUAUUGGGCAAUGGGGGCAAGUCUGACCCAGCAACGCCGCGUGAAUGAAGAAGGCCUUCGGGUUGUAAACUUCUUUUAAGGGGGAAGAGCAGAAGACGGUUCCCUUUGAAUAAGCCACGGCUAACUACGUGCCAGCAGCCCCGGUUAUACGUAGGUGGCCAGCGUUAUUCGGAUUUACUGGGGGUAAAGGGCGUGCAGCGGGAGAGACAAGUCAGUUGUGAAACCCCCAGGCUCAACCCGUGAACUACAUCUGAAACUGUUUCCCUUGAGUGUCGGAGAGGUAAUCGGAAUUCCUUGUGUAGCGGUGGAAUGCGUAGAUAUAAGGAAGAACACCAGUGGCGAAGGCGGAUUGCUAGACGGUAACUGACGGUGAGGCGCGAAAGCGUGGGGAGCAAACAGGAUUAGAUACCCGGGUAGUC